AGUGAACGCUGGCGGUAGGCCUAACACAUGCAAGUCGAACGGCAGCACAGGAGAGCUUGCUCUCUGGGUGGCGAGUGGCGGACGGGUGAGGAAUACAUCGGAAUCUACUUUUUCGUGGGGGAUAACGUAGGGAAACUUACGCUAAUACCGCAUACGACCUACGGGUGAAAGCAGGGGAUCUUCGGCCCUUGCCCGAUUUAAUGAGCCGAUGUCGGAUUAGCUAGUUGGCGGGGUAAAGGACCACCAAGGCGACGAUCCGUAGCUGGUCGGAGAGGAUGAUCAGCCACACUGGAACUGAGACACGGUCCAGACUCCUACGGGAGGCAGCAGUGGGGAAUAUUGGACAAUGGGCGCAAGCCUGAUCCAGCCAUACCGCGUGGGUGAAGAAGGCCUUCGGGUUGUAAAGCCCUUUUGUUGGGAAAGAAAUCCAGCUGGUUAAUACCCGGUUGGGAUGACGGUACCCAAAGAAUAAGCACCGGCUAACUUCGUGCCAGCAGCCGCAGUAA
rnacentral:rRNA from 1 species